GCCACCAUUUAAAGAGUGCGUAAUAGCUCACUGGUCGAGAGACGCUGCGCCGAAAAUGUCCGGGGCUCAAGCACGGAACCGAAGCUAUGGCAUGACAGCGAUGUCAUGGGUAGGGGAGCGUUCUUAUAAGGAAGAAGCAUUACCGUAAGGAGAUGUGGACAUAUAAGAAGUGAGAAUGCCGGUAUGAGUAUCGAAAAGAAAGGUGAGAAUCCUUUCCACCGAAAGCCCGAGGGUUCCUGAGCAACGAUCGUCGACUCAGGGUAAGUCGGGACCUAAGCCGAGGCGGAGACGCAUAGGCGAUGGACAACAGGUUGAAAUUCCUGUACCGGAUGGAGUCAAUUGAGCGAAGGAGCGACGCAGGAGGGCACAUGAUCGCGCGGCUGGAAGAGCGCGUCCAAGUGCGUAUGCGUAGAGGGAGGCAAAUCCCCCUUUACAGAAGCAGAGACAUGAUGGGGAGUUAAAGGAGACUUUGACGAACUCAUGGAUCCCACACUGCCAAGAAAAACUUCUAGCGAGACGAAAUCCGCCCGUACCGUAAACCGACACAGGUAGGCGGGGAGAGAAUCCUAAGGUGCGCGGGAAAACCCUCGUUAAGGAACUCGGCAAAUUGCAUCCGUAACUUCGGGAGAAGGAUGACCCUGAGUAGGCGAAAGGGAGAAACCCCCGGAACAGAAAAGGGUGGCAGAAAAGAGGCCCAAGCAACUGUUUACCAAAAACACAGGUGCCUGCGAAAGCGAAAGCUGAAGUAUAGGUGCUGACGCCUGCCCGGUGCUGGAAGGUUAAGGAGAGAGGUCAGCGAAAGCGAAGCUUUGAACUGAAGCCCCAGUGAACGGCGGCCGUAACUAUAACGGUCCUAAGGUAGCGAAAUUCCUUGUCGGGUAAGUUCCGACCCGCAUGAAAGGCGUAAUGAUUUGGGCACUGUCUCAACGAGGGGCCCGGUGAAAUUGAAAUACCUGUGAAGAUGCAGGUUACCCGCGACUGGACAGAAAGACCCCAUGGAGCUUCACUGCAGCUUGAGAUUGAAUCCCGGUGACAUAUGCACAGGAUAGGUGGGAGGCUAAGAAGUAAUGCCUUUGGGUGUUACAGAGCCGAUGUUGGGAUACCACCCUUAUGUUGCUGAGAUUCUAACACGGAGACUAACAACCUCGUGGACCAUCUCAGGCAGGCGGUUUGACUGGGGCGGUCGCCUCCUAAAAUGUAACGGAGGCGCCCAAAGGUUCCCUCAGGCCGGACAGAAACCGGCCGAAGAGUGCAAAGGCAGAAGGGAGCUUGACUGCGAGACAGACAAGUCGAGCAGAGACGAAAGUCGGGCUUAGUGAUCCGGU
rnacentral:rRNA from 1 species